rnacentral:rRNA from 1 species
AUGUUUUCUUGCGGACCGAUGGUAGCUUGCUCCCUGUAUUCAGCGGCGGACGGGUGAGUGCUCGUGGGCAACCUGCCUGUCGACUGGGAUAACUCCGGGAAACCGGCCUUAAUACCGGAAAAUUCUUUCCCUCACAUGAGGGACCCCGUUUGAUGGUUUCGGCUAUCACUUACAGAUGGGCCCGCGGCGCAUUAGUUUUUUGGUGAGGUAACGGCUCACCAAGGUUGCGAUGCUCCCCCGACCUGAUAGGGUGAUCGGCCACACUGGGACUGAGACACGGCCCAUACUCCUACGGGAGGCAGCAGUAGGGAAUCUUCCGCAAUGGACGAAAGUCUGACGGAGCAACGCCGCGUGAGUGAUGAAGGUUUUCGGAUCGUAAAACUCUGUUGUUAGGGAAGAACACGUACCGGAGUAACUGCCGGUACCUUGACGCUACCUACUCCCAAUUCCUGGGCUAACUACUCGCCAGCACCAGCGGUAUGACGUAGGUGGCAAUUCGU